GACGAACGCUGGCGGCGUGCUUAACACAUGCAAGUCGAACGGAAAGGCCCCUUUGGGGGUACUCGAGUGGCGAACGGGUGAGUAACACGUGAGUAACCUGCCCUUGACUUCGGGAUAACUUCAGGAAACUGGGGCUAAUACCGGAUAGGAAUCCUUGCUGCAUGGUGGGGGUUGGAAAGCUUCGGCGGUUUUGGAUGGACUCGCGGCUUAUCAGCUUGUUGGUGGGGUAGUGGCUUACCAAGGCUUUGACGGGUAGCCGGCCUGAGAGGGCGACCGGCCACAUUGGGACUGAGAUACGGCCCAGACUCCUACGGGAGGCAGCAGUGGGGAAUAUUGCACAAUGGGCGGAAGCCUGAUGCAGCAACGCCGCGUGCGGGAUGACGGCCUUCGGGUUGUAAACCGCUUUCAGCAGGGGCGAAGCUUGUGGUGACGGUACCUGCGGAAGAAGCACCGGCUAACUACGUG
rnacentral:rRNA from 1 species